GACGUAGGGAGCAAGCGUUGUCCGGAUUUACUGGGCGUAAAGCGCGCGUAGGCGGUCUGUUAAGUGUGAAGUGAAAUCUCCAGUGCUCAACACGGAAACUGCUUUACAUACUGACAGGCUAGAGGAAUGCAGAGGUUUGUGGAAUUCCCGGUGUAGCGGUGAAAUGCGUUGAUAUCGGGAGGAACACCCAUGGCGAAGGCAGCAAACUGGGCAUUAUCUGACGCUGAGGCGCGAAAGCGUGGGUAGCAAACAGG
rnacentral:rRNA from 1 species